rnacentral:rRNA from 1 species
CCUACGGGAGGCAGCAGUGGGGAAUCUUGCGCAAUGGGCGAAAGCCUGACGCAGCCAUGCCGCGUGAAUGAUGGAGGUCUUAGGAUUGUAAAAUUCUUUCACCGAGGACGAUAAUGACGGUACUCGGAGAAGAAGCCCCGGCUAACUUCGUGCCAGCAGCCGCGGUAAUACGAAGGGGGCUAGCGUUGCUCGGAAUUACUGGGCGUAAAGGGAGCGUAGGCGGAUAGUUUAGUCAGAGGUGAAAGCCCAGGGCUCAACCUUGGAAUUGCCUUUGAUACUGGCUAUCUUGAGUACGGAAGAGGUAUGUGGAACUCCGAGUGUAGAGGUGAAAUUCGUAGAUAUUCGGAAGAACACCAGUGGCGAAGGCGACAUACUGGUCCGUUACUGACGCUGAGGCUCGAAAGCGUGGGGAGCAAACAGGAUUAGAUACCCUGGUAGUCCACGCUGUAAACGAUGAGUGCUAGUUGUCGGCAUGCAUGCAUGUCGGUGACGCAGCUAACGCAUUAAGCACUCCGCCUGGGGAGUACGGUCGCAAGAUUAAAACUCAAAAUGAAAUUGACGG